CAAAAAAUAGUGCUGACAAAGCUGGUGACUCUCACUGAUGAGGUCAAACAACUCCAGAGGAGCAUGCCUAAAUCUAGCAUUGAGAUCAUAAAGAUUAACACCUUGGAAGAGUUCGAGAGGGAGGAGGCUUCUCUUCUGAUAAAAACAAAUUUGAAACCUUGGUUUGUCAGCUGGCAAGAGUGGGUGGGAAAGAUGUAAAGGACUGCACGCACAAAGUGAUGGACAGGCUCUUCACCAACAACCUAAUGACACUGUUUAAUUUGAAAGGGAAGGG